ensembl:lncRNA
CGGGUCUCCACUGCAAGCCAGGCUGCCACCCGGGCUCUCCGCUCCCCGCUGGGAACCUUGCUGACCCCCGGGGUCCCGGCUCCCCACUGGGAACACAGCAGCUGACCGGACUCCGGGGGCAGAUUUCCCCACCAGAGACGAGAAGACCCAGGUGGCAGCUGGGGUCCUAGAGGGGAUCUGCAUGGAGCGGAGAGCCCUGGCGCUCAGCCCCCCACACUGCCCCUCCUCAGUGGGUGGACGUGCUCCUGGUGAGGACACGCACCACCAGCAGGAGGGUCGUGUGGACAUCAGCCACCACAGCAAGUAGGCAGUAAAUUGACCUUGGUCGACUUAAGAUUGUAGUGUAGAUAUGCGCCGCCCCCUCCCCACCCCCCCGAGUGGAGCUUCUCCAUCACCUCAAGGGGUUGAGGUCUGAGCAGGGGGCAUUUAUUUUUGGACAAAUGGUUAAUUGGAAGAAAAAUUAGUAGCUUCAGGGGUGAUCAGAAACUGUUUGCAAAUUUGCCAUCAAUAGUGUCAGCCAUGCCCAAAACAGUCAGAGAAGGAGGAGAAGGCCAGGCAGCCCCUACACGCACACAGAGAUGAAAACUCACCUGGGCAAUAGGGCAUGCAGGAUCAAGUCCCUGCUGUGCUACAAACCUGAAACAGAUGUUUCUGAUUUGCUGAAAAUUUUGCAAAAUGUCAGAUUUGGUUCCAUCCAGACCAAUUUUUUUUUUUUACGCCACCAAACCGCCAAGCUGGUUCCUUGCCAAGCUCUACUCCUAGAUUCAAACCUCACUGCUGAUCCACGCAGAGUGUUACAUCAGUCCGGUUGGGAAGUUUAGCCCCUUUAGGCAACUGGAGGCUCAGCCCAAGGGCAUCUCUGAAUGUGAGCUGAGAGGCCUGCGCACGCAGCCACUGGGUGGGUGGGAACUGUGCUUCUCGGUGGCUGAGCCAUCCGCUAACAUGCGCCAGUUUCUCUCAUCAGGGCACGAUGAAAAGUCCGGUCAGAAAACAGAGCUGGCGUAAACACAGCCAAAAGAUCAACGACAACCAGCUGCAGUCCAUCCUGCAGAGACGGCGCAGGAUGGUGGACUCCUCCACUCCCGCCCAGCCCUCGCCGCUGCGGGCUGAGCUCAGAAAAGAGGUGCAGAAUCAAGGUGACAGUGAGAUUUGCAAAGCUGUGCCCAGCCCAUGCGCCGAGGAGAAUGUAGCUGUCGUCCAGUUAAGAGCGAGAUCGGUGCACCUUCAGAAAAGCAGGCGACUGGCUCUCCUGAGUGAAGCAGAGAACAAGCCAGCAUAGAGAGAGACUGCCUGAAAACCAGCUGUCCUGUUGGACCACAAUACACUGCAUGACCGCCCGGUCUCGCACCCCGCCGACGCUCCUUGCAGUACUUGCCCCACCUGUGUAUCUUUCAGGCACGCAAACAUUCAGAUCCUGAGCACCGCUUGCUUACGCAUACUAGCUUGCUCCACUUGCCUCGGUGGUUGCUGGGAAGUGCGGUCAGGAAUCUUAACACUGACAAGCUUCAUAGUGUGGUCCUAGAGUGGACUUGUCAUUGGCCAGUGGAACGGGGUUUUGUUGACAGUGGUUUGUAAAGAUCAUCCAUCCCUCCUCUUUCAAAGGCCAAACAUAAUUAAUUUCACACUCUUCCUGAGGACUGCAGAUAAAGACGGCUGCCGCUUUCGAGCCCGUUCUUUUCUAACUGAGCUGCCCUGACAAGACUAGAUCCAGCAGAACCCAUUCAGCUGCUGAGCUGAGCAUCUUGGGGGAUCUGAGUGUCCUUCUAAGAAGCCCCCCAUCUGAAAUUUGAGCUCUGUACCUUUUAACUAGACAACCUGUUAGAGAAAAGGGCUAAAGAGACCGAAAUUGAAUUUGGAUGUCCUAAGCACAGAUCACGCGGCAGUUCACAUGUUGUGGCGCUUGUCCAGCUGCCUCGAGUGGCUCGCGAGCGCGAGUCCCCGCCUCAGGGCAGACUGUGAAGAAGCAGGGCACAGACCCCAAGCUGGCUGUGAGUUCUAUGUCCACAUUUCACCAACCAAGUAUCAAGUCUGAACUCCUCAAGGACUAUGACAGCCUUAACAUGGAGUCACAGACAGUCUUCUUGGGCACUCAGGUCUAUCUUGCCACCCAGGCAAGCUUACCUUUGUGAUAGAUGGUCCCUUACACCAAAAAUCACAACGAUAUUCAGAUUACUCCCAGUCCAAAAGGACCAGUCACUUACCCCGGAUCAACUGCACCUCAGGUCCUAUGCCAA